AACACAGUACAGGUAAUGUGUAGCCUAACUGACUAUAGGCUGACUGUCACGGUUUUCGUCGGUUAUGGAGGACCAAAACGCAGCAGGAAGUGCGUCACGAGGCUGGGACCAGCUUGCACACCGACGAUAGGAUGAGGAAGUUUAAACCACGCUCAUCCUCGCUCUGACAGGCCAGCAAUGAGCGGGAACUAUCUCUGUCAGAGUAUAUAAGGGAGAACAAAGGAUGUGUCACCCUCUUCUCUGUCUGCCCUGCGUGGUGUUACAGUGAGACCGUAUAUACGAACAACAUAUUUACCAUUCAAGUGUUUGCAAUAAUUAAAGUACAAAGAAAACAUGAGUUACUCUUUGCUAAUUAAUUUGUUCUAAUACCAGAUUCGAAUUGACGCGACCUGACAAUUGGUGACCCCGACGUGAUGUGGUAUAGGAACUUCGCUGUCGUGGGACGGUGUGUUUCACAAAAAGUCCGGACAACUAAAAAGAGGACCUGAGCCCUAGGACCAUGCCUCAGGACUACCUGGUAUGAUGACUCCUUGUUGUCCCC